rnacentral:lncRNA from 10 species
GAUGCAAAAAAAUCAUUUAAUAAAAUUUAACAUUCCUUCAAAAAACUAGGCAUAGAAGAAACAUAUCUUAAUAUAAUAAAGGCCAUAAAUGACAAACCCACAGCUAACAUCAUAUUGAAUGGGAAAAUUCUGAAACCUUUUCCGCUUGAAAAUAAAUCCAUUCUCCCCUGGAUGACAUUUAGGCUGUUUCCACUUCACUGAUUAUUCUUACAUGUGAUUGAGGUAACCAAGCUUAUGUAUUACAGGAAAAGCAAGAAUAAAUACAGUGUACAUUUUUUCAGGUAUGGGUCUAAAUUACAUCUGGGGAUCAAAAAAUGAAUAAAACACAGUCCUCACUCAUAAGGAAUUCAAGCCUAGUUGAGGGACAUUGGUGUGUAAAUAACAAGUGCUAUUCUCUACUGGGAAAAGCUCAGGGUCUACAGUCAUACAGAUCUGAAAUUGAAUCCAGCUUUGUGGCUUAUGAUCUGGGAGACCUUAAGCAAGUUACUUAGCCUCUACUAGGCUUUAGUUUUCUCAUUUAAAAACCAGUGUACCUCCCUCUGAGGUACUGUGAGGAGUAAAGGGGAUAAUGCCUAGAAGGGACUUAGUACUUCUCCAGGUAUUAGUAUGUAAGAUUACCUUAUUAUACAAGCUGCAAAUACAUAGGUACUAUCAGAAAUAUAAGCAAUGUGCCAUGAAAGCAAUUUAUUCAGUCUAAUGAUUAGACCUCUGCUCUGAACUACACAUGCCCUUUAUAAAACCAGCACAGAUCAAGUGUGUUUUAUGAGUUAUGUUUUAGACAUUUUGGAGCAAUAAUCAUAAGGUUAUUACUAUUUCAGAUCAAAGUGCAAAGGCUAUGCAAGGGGUAGCCAUUUCUCUGAAAUUGCCAUCUCCAGGACUGAUUCAGGAAAAAAUACAAAUCUAUUAUCUGCUUUGCUAAAAGAAAAUUGUCUAAUGAAAGUAAAUCACCAGGAAACCCAAUUUACUCUACAGUGAAAUUUGGCUUAAAAUUAAUCUUUCUUAUACCUAGGCAAAGAGUUUUCUGGCAAAACUACAUGGUUUCUUGAAGAAAUAGAUUCACCUAGAAGUCAGCAUGGACCCCAAAGACAGAGUUAUUUUAUACCUGUGUCAUCUUGAACUAUCAUGCAAUGACUUUUUAAAAAUAAACUUUUAGAGCAGUUUUAGAUUUACAGAAAAAUUGCAAAGAAAGAAAAUUCUUGAAUACCCCCCACCCAGUUUUCCCUAAUGUUAACAUCUUACAUUAGGAUGGUGUUAAUCGCCAUCCUAAAGAAACAGGAUGAAUCCCUGCCCAAAAUUUGAUUUGGAUGUCAAGACCAAUGAUGUCACACACGCACACACACACACACACACACACACACACACACACACCCCAAGAGGUUAUGAAAAUCUUUUCUAUAAUGGGAUGUUUUUGAAAAGAGCAAGGGAGCCUUCCCAAAAUGGUUCCAAAUGGCUUAAAUAGCCAGAAAAGGAGACAGGCUUGAGAUUUUUUUAACUGAUACAUAAUAAUUGUAUAUGUAUAUGAAAUACAUCUGACAUUUCAAUUCAUGUCUAUGAUGUGUAAUAAUCAAAUAAGAGCAAUUGACAUAAUCAUCACCUCAAAUAUUUAUCAUGUCUUUGUGCUGAGAACAUUCAAAAUCCUCUCUUCUAGCUAUAUUAAAAUAUAAAAUAAAUUUUGGUUAACUAUAGUCACCCUCCUAUGCUACAGAACAUUAUAACUUAUCUAACUAUAAUUUUGUACCCAUUAACCAACUUCUUCCCAUCCUUUCCCCCUACCCUUCCCAGCCUCUGGUGACCACUAUUCUACUCUCUACUUCUAUGGGAUCUACUUCUUUAGCUCUAAUAUAUGAGUGACAACAUGUGAUACUUAUCGUCUGUGCUGGCCUAUUUCAAUUAACAUAAUGUCCUCCAGGCUCAUUCAUGCUAUUGCAAAUGACAGAAUUUCAUUCUUUUUAUAGCUAAAUAAUAUUUCAUUAUGUAUAUGUACUAGAUUUUUAAAAUUCAUUUACCUGUCGAUGGACAGUUAGAUUGUUUCCAUAUCUGGGCUAUUGUGAGUAGUUCCGCAGUAGCCACAAAUAAAGAUCCUGCACAAAGCCUUAGUGCUCUGAAAACAUCCAUAAAUAAAACCAAUUGACUCUACUCAAAUUACACCGCCGUUAAGGGCACAUCAAUCUUCCUAGAUAAGAAAGAAAAAGCACAAGAACUUUGGCAAUUCAAAAACGCAGAGUGUCUCCUUACCCCUUAUGACCACAAUAGCUCCCCAGCAGUGGUUUCUAGCCAAACAAAAAUGGCUAAAAAGACAGACAAGAACUCAAAAUCUCAAUGAAGUUCAUCAAGAUUCAGGAGAAAGUUGAAACCCGAUUUAAGGAAU